CUGAAACCCAAGUUACCCAAAUAUUCAUCCAAAUCGUAGUUUGCGAGUAAAUCGAGGCAACCGACACGAGGAAAGUCGAGUGAUCUGUAUCCUGGCUAGCUAGUUCUUAUGGCUUUGGCUAAUGGAGUAUCGACUGUUGAUUUCAAGAAACCUCUUUUCUCUUUCGGAGUCAUAACUGAUGUUCAGUAUGCUGAUAUCCCCGACGGCCACUCAUUCUUGGGCGUGCCUCGAUUCUAUCGGCACAGUAUCCAGGUCUUGCAAAGAGCUGCAGUUAAGUGGAACAGUCUCAAGACACUUAAGUUCUCAAUCAACUUUGGGGACAUAAUUGAUGGGUUCUGCCCCAAAGACAAGUCACUAACAGCAGUAAAUAAUGUCCUCGAUGAAUUUGACAAAUUUAAUGGCCCGGUCUAUCACAUGAUUGGCAAUCACUGCCUAUAUAACCUCCCUCGAGAUAAGCUGAUUCCGUUGCUCAAGAUUCCCUCCCCGUACGGUUGUGCUUACUAUGAUUUCUCCCCAUCUCCAGAAUACAGGUUUGUCGUUUUGGACGCGUAUGACAUCAGUGCCAUUGGUUGGGCACAGGAUCAUCCAAAAACUUCAUUAGCUAUGGAGUUACUGCAGUCGAAGAAUCCAAAUGCAGACAAGAACAGUCCGGUAGGAUUGCUGGGUCUCGAAAAGAGGUUCUUGAUGUUUAAUGGGGCGGUCGGUAAAGAACAGCUUGAAUGGCUCGAUGGUGUCCUACAAGACUCCACGAAGAACGAGCAGAAAGUGAUUAUAUGCUGCCACCUACCUCUAGACCCCGGUGCAGCGACACCGGAGGCACUGUUGUGGAAUUACGAAGAGGUGAUGGAAGUCAUACACCAAUAUGAAUCUGUGAAGGUGUGCUUUGCUGGGCAUGCUCAUAAGGGUGGAUAUUCGGUUGAUUCUCAUGGCAUCCAUCACCGAGUUCUUGAAGCAGCGCUCGAAUGUCCACCUGGCUCAGAUGCAUUUGGUCAUGUUGAUGUUUAUCACGAUAGGUUGUUGCUUUCAGGAACGGACCGAAUGGCGAGUACUGAGAUGGUUUUCAUUUCUUGAGGGUUGGAGAAUUAUUCAAAACUUCCUCAACUACAACCACUUGGUACUGACUGGUGAUAGCCCAUUGGUAUUGUACUUCAAAAUUGCAACAAUGCAGAUACAGAGACUAGUCACCUUUCUUAGUAGAGUACAAAUCAUAGCAGAUCCGCUUGUAUAUGGGCUGCGGUCUCAAGUUCAUCCCCUUGGAGAGCUGAGAUCACAAUCGCUUGCGGCGAAAGGGGGCGGUUUUGCUCUCGUCUCUCCUAAUGUAUGUAUUUGAGGCCACCUACCGGCUUACACCAUAGACAUGAUGCUGAUAAGAAUUGCGUUAUUCUUAGGGCUUGUGUGGCAACUCUGGCACUAAACAGGAUAGCAGAACUAACCUGGAAAGGGCUAAAAUUUUCCUAAUGAAUGCAUCAGCACCUGUUACUGCAUAGAAGAGGUUCUGAUAAGAAUGACAUUCAUCUUAGGCUCGUUGGGCAACUCUCCCACAAACAACAGAGGAAGUAACCUGAUUAGGGGCUUAAAUUUUGUUUGGAAAAAGCUGUUAGAUCUCAUGUUUAUGAGCCUACUAUCUAAUCUAAUUUUGAUGAUUAACAAACAAUUCCUAACAUCGUUUGUCGAGUGUUUGUGUUUGCUUGUUAGGUAUUCUACACAAAGAUCCUCCGUCGGAGGUUGGUUGGACUUACGCCUACACGAUCACAUCCUUUUGGAGGUUGGAGAAAAUAGGAAUGAAGCUAUGCGUUUAAGUCAACACAUCAUCAAGCUUUAUUCCCGCUAUCAAGAUCAAGCUUCAACGAAAGAUCAUUAGCUUGGGUAUAUUUUUAGUUUAGGUGUUUACUUUAUGUGUCAUGCUUAAAGCUCAAAUAUAUACACAUACACGUUGUUUCGUUAUAUGGCUUUCAUUGGUUGUUUCAUUUUGCAAAAAGAUAUGUUUAGCCAUACAAAUAUUUUAAAAGAUAAGUUUUAACCAUAUAAAUAUGAAACAAAUACAUAUAUUCGUAUUCUUGCACAUAUGUUUCGUAUUUAUCGCAUUAUACAUCAUUUUGAGAAAAUAAUGUGUUUAUUGUUUUGAGAAAAUAACGUGUUUGUGGAUUAUUGACUUAGUGAUAC